UUUUAUGGAGAGUUUGAUCCUGGCUCAGGAUGAACGCUGGCGGCGUGCCUAAUACAUGCAAGUCGAGCGAACGGACGAGAAGCUUGCUUCUCUGAUGUUAGCGGCGGACGGGUGAGUAACACGUGGAUAACCUACCUAUAAGACUGGGAUAACUUCGGGAAACCGGAGCUAAUACCGGAUAAUAUUUUGAACCGCAUGGUUCAAAAGUGAAAGACGGUCUUGCUGUCACUUAUAGAUGGAUCCGCGCUGCAUUAGCUAGUUGGUAAGGUAACGGCUUACCAAGGCAACGAUGCAUAGCCGACCUGAGAGGGUGAUCGGCCACACUGGAACUGAGACACGGUCCAGACUCCUACGGGAGGCAGCAGUAGGGAAUCUUCCGCAAUGGGCGAAAGCCUGACGGAGCAACGCCGCGUGAGUGAUGAAGGUCUUCGGAUCGUAAAACUCUGUUAUUAGGGAAGAACAUAUGUGUAAG
rnacentral:rRNA from 1 species